AAAAGCAUCCACACUACCAGCUUGAGCAAAAGUAGUAGCUUCCUUGAUGAGGAAAUCAAAAGACAAUCCAAAUAACCCUCAUUUCUUCACCCAAUGAGCCUCUAUCUCAGACUUCUUCAAGUGAAAAGCUUCAGCAAUAAAACUAGACCGGGGAAUCUCCUCCAAUCCAUUAAAAGGCACUCUACUAGAAACAGGUAUCCCCAAAAGGUGAGAAUACUCCUCCAAGGUAGGCACAAGCUGAAAAUCUGGAAAAGUGAAACAAUGGUAGAG
rnacentral:lncRNA from 1 species